GGGUUUCGUUUUUUCCCUCUCUUGCUUCUUGCUCUCUUGCUUCUUGCACUCUGUUCCUGAAGAUGUAAGAAUAAAGCUUUGCCGCAGAAGAUUCUGGUCUGUGGUGUUCUUCCUGGCCGGUCGUGAGAACGCGUCUAAUAACAAGGAAACUCAAGGAGUUCAAUAAAGAACAUGGUUCCUGAUACUCCAGCUCCAGAUAAAGGGCAGUGAUCCAUCCAUCACCUUUCCCAUCAGACAAUAGGCACCAGCGUUUGAAGAAAUAUGUCAGAAAAUAAAGGUCAUGGGAAGAAAGAGAAGCUGCGGCAUCUAUCAUCCUCCCGCUGCUCUCCCAGUCCUUCCAACAGCUGGGCCUGCCAUAUCUCUGCUUUCUGCAGAAGACCCCUCUACUG
rnacentral:lncRNA from 1 species